UCACCAGCCCCCAGGGAAGGGGCUGGAGUGGAUUAGGGACAUAUGUUAUGAUGGGAACUCUUACUACAGCCGAUCCCUCAAGAGCUGCACCUCCAUCUCCAGAGACACAUCCAAGAACCAAUUUUCCCUGCAGCUGAGAUCCAUGACCACUGAGGACACAGCUGUGUAUUACUGUGCAAGAUACACAGGGUGGGGUGCCUUUGA